rnacentral:rRNA from 1 species
GGCGAACGCUGGCGGCGUGCUUAACACAUGCAAGUCGAACGGAAAGGCCCUGCUUUUGUGGGGUGCUCGAGUGGCGAACGGGUGAGUAACACGUGAGUAACCUGCCCUUGACUUUGGGAUAACUUCAGGAAACUGGGGCUAAUACCGGAUAGGAGCUCCUGCUGCCUGGUGGGGGUUGGAAAGUUUCGGCGGUUGGGGAUGGACUCGCGGCUUAUCAGCUUGUUGGUGGGGUAGUGGCUUACCAAGGCUUUGACGGGUAGCCGGCCUGAGAGGGUGACCGGCCACAUUGGGACUGGGAUACGGCCCAGACUCCUACGGGAGGCAGCAGUGGGGAAUAUUGCACAAUGGGCGGAAGCCUGAUGCAGCAACGCCGCGUGCGGGAUGACGGCCUUCGGGUUGUAAACCGCUUUCGCCUGUGACGAAGCGUGAGUGACGGUAAUGGGUAAAGAAGCACCGGCUAACUACGUG